CAGAUGCCCAUGUGGGGCUUGGACAGCACCCUGAUUUCUCCAGCCCUCAACGGAAGACUCUGGCUUAUACAAACUCCUCUCAGCCGGCUGCUACCCACCUGGUUGUGUUCUGAUAAACGGACAACUGGAUAGCUCCUUCCUCCCUCCAACAGAACAGAUGUCAGGGAUUACAGACUUGGGUCAACCUCAAGACUAAGAAGUGAUGUGGAGGGGAGACCAGUUGUCCCAGCUGAGGCCAUCCGAGUCCAGAUAGGUCCUAGACAACUGGCCACAGAUAUAUGAGGAAGCGCAGGAGAAACUAGAAGAACUAAACAGCUGAGCCCAAACCAAAUGGGUAACCUGAAGAGUUGGAAGCUAAAUAAAUGGUUAAUGUUU